rnacentral:rRNA from 1 species
AUGGACAUGAAGAUCCGGUGUCCAGUCGAGGAAGCGAUCAGACGUCCUCAGUGUAAGCUAGUCACCGGGGUCAUUUUUGGACCAUAUUUUGCUGAAUAUGUCUCCCACCUCGUACGAUUUCUCAAAGGAAAAAAAAGCCUCGUUUUUGGGAUUGCUUUGGGGAUAUAUUUAGGUGUAUAUGUCUGCCCCCUCAUUGAGUUUCUCAAUGAAAAAGAGAGAGCGCUCGCCCUCGUCCUCGGGAUUGCUUUGGGAGUAUAUUUUGGUCGAUGUGUCUCCCCCCUCAUUGAGUUUUUCAAAGAAAAGAAAAGGAUGCAAAUUGCUGGCCAUGGCGAAAGCAGCCGCAGUAGUAAUAUCAAAGCUGGCACUUGGGUUCUGGAUUCCGGCGCUCAAUGCCAUGUGACGGGUGACCCACGGCUCUUUUCUUCUCUCAACAUGGCUAAAAAAGGAAGCUGGAUUUACGGAGUCAGUGGGCAGCAGCUGCCAAUACGGGGCUUCGGAGCGGUGCAGUUUCCCUACUUCACACUCGAAGAAGUCUACUACGUUGAGGGCUUAGGCAGGAAUUUGAUCUGUCUAUCCAAGUUCCAGGUUACAUUCGGUUACAAAAUUACAUUUGGAAAAGCCACGUACAUCGAAGAGGAGGCUACGGGCAGGCGUAUCUGUGAACUUCGGAAUGUCGAUGGGCUAUACGAGAUGGACUCCGUGCCAGUAGCGCUUGACCAGCCUCCAGCAGCAGAGGGACGUGCCUGA